GGUGCCGAUGGCGGUGAGGGUACACCCGUUCCCAUCCCGAACACGGAAGUUAAGCUCACGAGUGCAGACAAUACUUGGCUGGAAGCGGCCCGGGAAGAUAUGGCGGUGCCG
rnacentral:rRNA from 1 species